rnacentral:rRNA from 1 species
GACGAAUGCUGGCGGCGCGCUUAACACAUGCAAGUCGAGCGAGAACCAGGGCUUCGGUCCUGGGGACAGCGGCGAACGGGUGAGUAACACGUGGAUAACCUGCCCUCGGCACCGGGAUAGCCCGGGGAAACUCGGAUUAAUACCGGAUGGCCCUUCCGGCUCUCGAGCCGGUCGGAAAAGGUAGCUUCGGCCUCCGGCCGAGGAUGGGUCCGCGGCGGAUUAGCUCGUUGGUGGGGUAAUGGCCUACCAAGGCUCCGAUCCGUAGCUGGUCUGAGAGGACGAUCAGCCACACUGGGACUGAGACACGGCCCAGACUCCUACGGGAGGCAGCAGUGGGGAAUCUUGCGCAAUGGGCGAAAGCCUGACGCAGCGACGCCGCGUGAGGGAGGAAGGCCUUCGGGUUGUAAACCUCUUUCAGGAGGGACGAAGCUACUCGGGUGAACAGCCCAGAGGGUGACGGUACCUCCAGAAGAAGCCCCGGCUAACUACGUGCCAGCCGCCGCGGUAAAAC